UGAGGCUGGCGCACCAGAAACCUUUGUGAACUUAUACCUAUUGUUGCCUCGGCGCAGGCCGGCCUCUUCACUGAGGCCCCCUGGAAACAGGAGCAGCCCGCCGGCGGCAACCAAACUCUUGUUUCUACAGUGAAUCUCUGAGAAAAAAAACCAUAAAUGAAUCAAAACUUUCAACAACGGAUCUCUUGGCUUCUGGCAUCGAUGAAGAACGCAGCGAAAUGCGAUAAGUAAUGUGAAUUGCAGAAUUCAGUGCAAUCAUCGAAUCUUUGCAACGCACAUUGCGCCCUCUGGUAUUCCGGAGGGCAUGCCUGUUCGAGCGUCAUUUCAACCCUCAAGCCUGGCUUGGUGAUGGGGCACUGCCUGUAAAAAGGGCAGGCCCUGAAAUCUAGUGGCGAGCUCGCCAGGACCCCGAGCGUAGUAGUUAUAUCUCGCUCUGGAAGGCCCUGGCGGUGCCCCUGCCGUUAAAACCCCCACAACUUNCUGAANACAUUCUUGACCUCGGAUCAGGGUAGGAAUACCCGCUGAAACUUAAAGCAUCAUCAANAAGACGAGAAGGAACUACGGNAAG
rnacentral:rRNA from 1 species